CUCGCUCUGUCACCCAGGCUGGAGUGCAGUGGCGCGAUCUCGGCUCACUGCAAGCUCCACCUCCCGGGUUCACGCCAUUCUCCUGCCUCAGCCUCUCCGAGUAGCUGGGACUAUAGGCGCCCGCCACCACGCCCUGCUAAUUUUUUGUAUUUUUCGUAGAGACGGGGUUUCACCGUGGUCUCGAUCUCCUGACCUCAUGAUCCGCCCGCCUCGGCCUCCCAAAGUGCUGGGAUUGGGAUUUUUACAGUUCCCCCAGGUGAAUCUGAGGGGCAACACGACUGAGAAUUAUAGAUUUAAGGAAAUAGUCCUAUUUAAAACCAACACUUAGGAAAACAGGUUCUCCAAAUGUCUUCACUUCUUUAUACUCCUGGAUAUAGGACAGUUUACAAAAGGCAUGUAUAAACCCCACUGCAUUCCACUCCCACUCACACAACAAAAAGACCUGGGUAACAUAUGUAUUCUCAUUAGUCACAUAUCACCAAGGACAUUAUUUCUUGGCAAAGGAACUCUUCUGAUAAAAUGAAGAGAAUGUCCAGUUUAGUUCCUGGAAACAUGAAGCUCUGUCUUUCACAGAGGUCUCCUUGGAGGCUGCCUAAAAGAAGUGUCUGGAAUGUAUUUCAUUUCUAGUUCCUCUGUGCGGUAAUGAAAGAACACAAAGUUGUUCUUUGUGAAACAGAAAGAUCAGUAUUGAAGUUCCAGCUAUCACCGUAAGCCUAAGGCUUGGUUUCUUUAUUUAAAAAAAAAAAUAGGAUAAAUAAUGCUUCCAUCAGGGUGUAGAGGAUGCAUAGAGGUUCGUUUACAUGGAAGCACUUCAUAAACUGUAAAGUGCCAUGCAAAUAUGAGACAUGAUUACUGUGAUGGCCACACCUCGGGAUUAACUGCACUCAUGAUGAUUUCCCAAUGAGACUCUGAUUUUGUCUCAAGUGUCAAUAAACCAUUUGCUGUUCAACAAGUUUUGAGCACCUACUAUGUCCCAGGCAUUAGGAGAAGGAUCGGGGAUGCAGCAUUAAGACAAACCAGCCCUCCAGGCCAGGCGCAGUGGCUCACACCUGUAAUCCCAGCACUUUGGGAGGCCGAGGCAGCCAGAUCACCUGAGGUCGGGAGUUCGAGAUCAGCCUGACCAACAUGGAGAAACCCCUGUCUCUACUAAAAAUACAAAAAAUUAGCUGGGCAUGGUGGCGCAUGCCUGUAAUUCCAGGUACUCGGCAGGCUGAGGCAGGAGAAUCACUUGAACCUGGGAGGCAGAGAUUGCAGUGAGCUGAGAUCGUGCCAUUGCACUCCAGACUGAGCAACAAGAGCGAAACUCCAUCUCAGGAAAAAAAAAAAAAAAAAAAAAAAAAAAACAGACAAACCAGCCCUCCAUUAAUCAUGGAGUGGGGGAAGCGGAUAAUAGGCAAGUAAACAAACAAAAGAAUUACAGCUGUGCUAAGUGCUAGGAAAGCUAUAAACAGGCUAGAGGGAGCUCAGCCUGAGGACAUGUGGUCAGAAAGGCCCCUCGGAAGACACAAGUCCACUUGAGGCUUGCGUAUGGGAAGGAGCCAGCCCUAUGAGAUAUAUGUUCCCCCACCCCAAAUUCGUAUGUGGAAGCUUUAGAAUGUGACUGUGCAUGGAGACAGGACCUUUAAAGAGGGGAUUAAGUUAAAAUGAGGCCAUUAGAGUAGGUCCUAAUACAGUCUGACUGGUGUUCAUAUAAGAAGAGAACACUUGGGCACAUAAAGAGACUCUAGGCUGGGUGUGGUGUCUCACACCUGGAAUCCUAGCACUUUGGGAGGCUGAGGCGGGUGGAUCGCUUAAGCUCAAGAGUUCAAGACCAGCCUGAGCAAUGUGGCAAAACCCCAUCUGUACAUAAGAAAUGCAAAAACUAGCCAGGUGUGGUGGCGCACACCUGUAGCCCCAGCUACUUAGGAGGCUGAGAUGGAAGGAUCACUUGAACCCAGGAAGCGGAGGUUUUGGUAAGUCAAGAUCGUGCCACUGCACUCCAGCCUGGGUGACAGAGAGAGAUGCUGUCUCAAAAACAAACAAACAGACUCUUUGGGUGCAACACGUGAAGACAUAGGGAGAAGGCAGCCAUCUGCAAGCCAAGGAGGAGGUCUCCGAAGAAAUCAACCCUGCAGGCAUGUUGAUCUUGGACUUUCAGCCUCCAGAGCUGUGAGACAAUUAAUUAGAUUCUGUUGUUUACGCCACCCAAUCUGUGGUGUUCUGUUAUGGCUGACCCCACAAACUAAUGCAGGGAGCAAAGGCUCUGGCCCCUGACACAGCCUCACAUAUUCCAGGAACUGUUGGAAAACCACUGGCUAGAGCGUUAGGAGUGAGAGUAAGUAGACUGGCAGGAGCUGAGGUUGAAUAUAUAGUAGAAGCUAGAUCACGCAAGAGCUAUGGGGCCACAGCAGAGCGUAGAAUUCAGUGCAGUGGGAACUUAUUCAAGGAUUUUAAACAAAGGGGUGACAAGAUAUUUUUCGUGGAGUUUUUCUAAAUUUUUUAUUUUGGGAUAAUUUUAAAUUUAUACUAAAGUUGGCUGGGUACAGUUGCUCAUUUUCCAGCACUUUGGGAGGCUGAAGCAGGCGGAUUACCUGAGGUCAGGAGUUUGAGAAGACCAGCCUGGCCAACAUGGCGAAACCCUGUUUCUACUUAAAAAAAAAAAAAAAAAAAAAUAGCUGGGCGUGGUGGUGCAUGCCUGUAAUCCCUGCUGCUCGGGAGGCUGAGGCAAAAGAAUCACUUGAACCCGGGAGGUUGCAGUGAGCCUUAAUUGUGCCACCGCACUCCAGCCUGGGCAACAAGAGCAAAACUCCGUCUCAGAAAAAAAAAAAAAAUUAUACUAAACUUGCAGAGAUUGUGCACAGGGUUCUCAAAUACCCUCUACCCAGUUUCCCCUUACCUACCCAUGAUUCCACUGCUGAAACUACAGAUUUUAUUCAGAUUUCACCAGUUUUCCCAAUAAUGUACUUUUGCUUCUGUUCCAGAAUCCAGAUUAGGACACCCCAUUACAUUGGGUGAUUUAUGUUUUAAAAUGUUUGCCAUGGCUGUUCUGUGGAGAAUUAGUGAAAGGAAAGACUGGAAGCAGGGAGUCCAGUUGGUAGGCUAUUGGAAUGAUCCACACCAAGAUGGUGGUUUGAGCUGGAAAGAUGGCAGAGGAUAAAGAGGGGAGGAAGGGAUCUAUUUUGAAAACAGAGUGACUUUCUGUUAGAAUUGAUGUGGGGCAUGAGAGGGGAACAAAAUAGGGAUGAUCUCAGGCUUUCUAGCUCUGCCUAGUGGCCCUGGGUAAGUGGUGGUGCCAUUGCCAUCAUGGGAAACAGUGGAGGAGAAGCAGGUUCUGAGAAGAAAAGCAAGAGCGCCAUUGAGACAUGACGACUUUAGAUACCAAUGAGACUUCCAAGUGGAAAUGAGGGGUAAGAAGUUGGAUAUUGGCCAGGUGUGGUGGCUCUUGCCUGUAAUUCCAGUGCUCUGGGAGGUCAAAGCAGGAGGAUCGCUUGCACCCAAGAAUUCAAGGCCAUCCUGGGCAACAUGGUGAGACCCCGUCUCCACAAAAAAAAAAAAAAAAAAUUAAUUAGCUGGACAUGGUGGCGCACACCUGUCAUCCCAGCUACUCAGGAGGCUGAGGUGGGAGGAUCACUUGAGCCCAGGAGGUCAAGGCUGCAGUGAACCAUGAUCAAGCCACCGUACUCCAGCCUGGGCAACAGAGUGAGACUCUGUCUCAAAAGAAGAAGUUGGAUAUAUAUAUGAAUCUGGCAUUCAGAGAGGGAUGUGGGUCAUGAUUUUUAUCUAGGGAGAGGAGUGACAGAAAAGAGAAGUUUCUAGAUGCUUCAAGAUAGAGAUCGCCCAGGUCGUAAGAAGGACCUUCUGAUGGCUUCCAGGUCCAGCUUCUCAUUGUUUUCUUUAUUCCUUGGUUAAGACUAAUUUUCAAUCACUGGGCUGUGCUUGGUUUUAGGAAAUAAACGAUCUCAAUUUAACCACAAAGAUUUACUUAGAGAGAUCUAAUUUCUCCCCCUGGGUGCCUCCUUCGGGUAAAUUGCAUAAACAUCUCAAUGUCUUGACUGGGCUCAACUUACGUGGCUUUGGAGAGAAACGUUCUCUUCCUGACUACAAGUAGCUUCCCCUGGAAAUUACCAGCUGACAAAUAGGGAAUUUUAUCAUUUCAGGAGAGCUGUAUUUAUUGGGGCUUGCUAUGACAAUAGUCAUCAUGAAGUUUGUUUUCUUUCUUUUUUAUUUUUUGAAAUGGAGUCUCACUCUGACACCCAGGCUGGAGUGCAGUGGCGUGAUCUCACCUCACUGCAAUCUCUACCUCCCAGGUUCAAACGAUUCUCUUGACUCAGCCUCCCGUGUAGCUGGGACUACAGGUGUGCGCCACCACACCCAGCUAAUGUUUAUAUUUUUAGUAGAGACGGGACUUCACCAUGUUAGCCACACUGAUCUCGAACUCCUGACCUCAAUUGAUCUUCCCGUCUCGGCCUCCCAAAGUGCUGGGAUUACAGGCGUGAGCCACCUUGCCCAGCCGUGAAGUUUGUUUUCUAAUUAGCAUAGUAGUCCCUGCUUCUCCAAGGUUUCACUUUCUGCAGUUUUAGCUCCCUGCAGUCAAAUGCGGUCCAAAAAUAUUAAAUGGAAAAUUCCAGAAAAGAACAAUGCAUAAGUUUUAAAUUGCAUGCUGUUUUGAGGAGCAACAUGAAAUCUCGUACCGUCCUGCCCCACCCCACCCAGGGCACGAAGCCUCCCUUCGUCCAUCAACUCUGCUCUGUAUAUGCUACACGUCUGUUACUUAGUAGCUGUCUUGGUUAUCACAUCAAAAAAAAAAAAAAAAAAAAAAAAUAGAGCGUAUAUAGAGUUUGGUACUAUCUGAGGUCUCAGGCAUCCAGUGGGAGUCUCAGAAUAUAUCCCCCUCGGCCAAGGUCGGGGACAACUGCAUUUGUAUUUGUAACUCCAAGAGGACAACAUAGAUGGAUGGAUGUUAACAAUUUCAAAAGGUACUAAAAUUAAUUUGUAAAGCAGGAGUGCCAGUGGGAACUGCAGAAUCCAUAUUUACAGGUCUCUGGAGCUGAUUAUCUCUUCCUUAAAUGGCUUCUAAUUGAGGAUUACAGAAAGAAAAAAAGCACUUGCUUUAUUUUUAGACGUGAUCUCUGAUGUCUUCAACUUUUAUCGUUCUGUUUUUAACCUUAGAUUAUUAUAACCAGCCACCUACAAAAUCUGCAAUGUUCUCUAAUAAGUCAGCACCUGUUAAAAAGGAGGUUGCACAAAACACUCCCAUUUGCAGUUUGGAAGGAUUAUUAUCUACUUUGGUCUGUGAAGUGGAAAGUCAAUGUUCUUAUUCAAUCUGUGUCUAAUGGUAUCAUUUUGAGGACAAUGGAAAACAGAUCAUGUUUGAUUCCUUAAGAUGUGGCCACUGCUAUUUGUGGUACCAUUUGUGAUCUGAGAGCUGCAUGUAAAAAAACACAUCAGCAAAAAGAAUAUCCAGCACACGAGGGCUCGCUUUCUGAUUCUCAGAGGUAUAGUGACAACACAGCUUACCUCUGUAUUCAAAGAAGCCAGAACUUACCCGUGAUAAUCAUUAGUAGAAGACAGCUUAAAGUAGUGUCUGCUUUCUGGCUAGGCCUGGUUCAUGGGCCAGCUGACAAACAGGGAAUUUUAUCAUUUCAGGAGAGCUGUAUUUAUUGAGGCUUGCUAUGACAAUAGUCAUCAUGAAGUUUGUUUUCUUUCUUUUUUAUUUUUUGAAAUGGAGUCUCACUCUGACACCCAGGCUGGAGUGCAGUGGCGUGAUCUCCAGAGUAGACAGCCUACUCUGAUGUGCUAGUAUCAAGGGUGAGGGAGACAGUUAACCAAACUGGUCAAAAGCAUUGUCAGCAAAGACCUAGUGCUGAAUCAUGUUGGGAAAUUGGAAUUUGGAGCUAGAGAGGCAAUACCAAGUAUCAAGGUCUGAAUGUCCGCUUUGUAACCACUGUAGUAAUAAUUGACUCAAAAAAAAAAAAAAAAAAGCCAUCAAUGGAUGCUAAGACCAUUAAGCAAAACAAGUAUUGGCUACAGGAUAUAUCACCACCAAUGCUGGGCGUGGUAGCUCACACCUGUAAUCUCAGUACUUUGGGAAGCCAAAGUAGGUGGAUCAUCUGAGGUCAGAGUUCGAGACCAGCCUGGCCAACAUGGUGAAACCCCAUCUCUACUAAAAACACAAAAAAUAGCCAGACAUCAUGGCACAUGCCUGUAAUCCCAGCUACUCGGGAGGCUGAAGCAGGAGAAUCUCUUGAACCCAGGAGGUGGAGGUUGCAGUGAGCCGAGAUCAUGCCACUGCACUCUAGCCUGGGUGACAGAGUAAGACUCCGAAAGGAAAGGAAAGGAAAGGAAGAAGGAAACGAAGAGGAAAAAAGAAAGACAUGCAGAGAGGACAAACCAGAAAAUAAUGAUUGGCUACCUACGGGGGGCGGAGUGGGGGUGUGUGGAAACAGGGUGGAGAUGGACAGAGAAGCACUACCUCUGGGAGUAAACCUUUUUGAAUCAUUCAACUUUUGAAAUCAUGUUAAUGUUUUCCCCACUCAAAAAUAAUGAAACCAAAUCAACAGGGAUUAGGCAGGGGAUUGGUGGGGUGGAAGAUACUAAAAUAGAAUUAAAACAGAAAUAAAUGAACCUAACUGUAUUUUAAAAGAAAUAAAAUAGCCACACUGAAAAGGAGAGAAAAAGACCUUUCCCAAGGAAUUCUCAAUUACACAGCACUUUGACUAUAUAUCCUCAGUCGGAAGACCAUAAGAAUUGUAAACAAAUAUUGAAUUCUAAGUAAUGUUUGUUUCUUACUGUAGUAUGGGCUAAUAGUACUGAAACUAUUUUUUGUGUAAUGUAAGUUUGAGCAAAUACACAACCCUAGGGCCUACCUGUAGAAGAAAAUCACCAUUUGCAACUAUCAUAAUAGUAAUUGAUUUAAUAGUAAACAUAAUUGAAUGCUAAAACUAGUGUGUGAAAAGUUUGAUAAGGAACAGGAUAUUUACAUAGACUAAGAGUAUUUCUCUGCAAGUGACUUAUUAGUGGAAAAUAGAAAUAGAAAUAAUUUUACGAUAGACAGCCGGGCACAGUGGCUCACACCUGUAAUCCCAGCACUUUAGCAAGCCGAGGUGGGUGGAUCACCUGAAGUCAGGAGUUGGAGACCACGGUGAAACCCCAUCUCUGCUAAAAAUACGAAAAGAUUAUCUGGGUGUGGUGGCGGGCACCUGUAAUCCCAGCUACUGGGGAGGCUGAGGCAGGAGAAUCACUUGAACAUGGGAGGUGGAGGUUGCACUGAGCCAAGACUGCGCCAUUGCACUCCAGCCUGGGCAACAAGAGCGAAACUCUGUCUCAAAAAAAAAAAAAAAAAGAAAGAAAGAAUUUU